rnacentral:lncRNA from 1 species
GUUUUGUGAUUUGAUUUUGCCAUGAUUAUGGACUUUCCGAUUUGAUUUUUCUCUGAGUUCAGUAUUUUUGUGAUUUUACUUUUUAUUAUUGACCCAUUUUAACACAUCCUCUUUUUUCGUCUAUGACAUGAGGGUUGCUGCAUAUGACUCAACUCGUUUGUUUUCUAUAUUGUGUUUUGUAUACUGUUUUUUGUCUUUUGUUUGUAUUUAAUUUUGCCAUGUCCUUGUCAUCGACUUAUUAGUUUGAAUAUUCCUUUUGUUUCUUUAUCCUCUUUUCUCAAAAAAGUAUGUAUAGGGGCCGAGUAGUCUAAGAAGUUACUUCUGUAAUCACAAGCUAGUCAACACCGAGGUUGUGAGUUCGAACUCCGCUCAUGUGGGUGCACUCAACUCCAAUCUUAAUUAACAUGGAUUGUCAGUUUUCCUAUCGAAGUUCGGUUGUUUUCUCCUGGCACAAUGGCCUCCACCCCCACCCC